GCAGUUCUUCCAAAAAAUGAUAAGAGAUAAGAGUUCUUCCAAAAGAUAACACAAUUUUUAUUUUAUCAGCGUGACCAACCCAGAAACACCAAAAUAUAAAAUCACAUUCUAUCAGUCUGCCAAUUCUAUUAGAAUAAAAGUAACUAAAAUAUAACUAACGUUUAUCAGAGUUAACUGUUAUCUCUAGAACUAAACGGCAAUAAUUCAAAUGAUAAAAAAAAAUAACCGUGUUAAAAUAUAUUAUAUUUUCUUAAAUAGUACACAUUUUUACGAUACAUUUAUAAUGACAAAAAACCAACUAGUUCAUAUGACGACAACGAUAAUUAUUGUAUGAUGGUAGUCGUCUGAAGUCAUAAAAAGUUUAUCGGUAUGCUUAUUCAUUAGAGCGGUUCGAUUCCUGCAACUAUCUCUAGUCUGAUUAAGUGUGGUAACAGUUUUAAGAUGAGUCAAAGAUGAUGGUUGAACAGUUCUCCAUUGACACUAAUUGGAAGAAAUAAUUGUUUUAUCAUUUGUCUAAAUAGACUAGCUAGAAUGUGACCAGAGGAAGAUUAAAUGGACAUAUCAUAUAUUUCUCCAUGGACACUGUAGUAAUCCAUAGACUGACUUUUGACACUAUAUUUGAAUAUUUGUUGUCAACGUUAAUUGGAUUUUGUGCAAAACCCCUGGAAGAAUAUUUUGUAUCAGACUAACAGUAUAAACGCCACCCAGUAAUUCUGUUUACCUGCUGUUAGACAUUGUAGUAUCAUCUCCAAUCUCUUUAUAUAUUGUUUAAUUUUAUUUAAAAAAGUCUUAUUAUAAUUUAUUAUUAAUCAAGUGUAAUUCAGUUGAUUAUUUAUUGAAUAACUUAUUAUCCUGUCUUCAAUGUCCAUAUAAACUCUACUGUAUUUAUGACCACUACACUGAUAUCUCAUUUGCCUAAAUAUUUUUAAUU